rnacentral:tmRNA from 1 species
GGGGGCGUAAAGGUUUCGACGUGGGUUUGGAACUUGGGGUGGCGUGUCGUGUUACUCUGGGUCACGUAAAAACUGGGGAACUUAAAAUAAACGCAAACGAUAAUUACGCUUUAGCAGCUUAAUAAUGCUGCUCGACCCGCUUAGCCCUCCUGCCGGUUAAGCCUGGUCGUCAUUUAUGCAGGGUACUACUUUUUGGGUGUCUCGACUUAAAGUGGACUUAUUGGGGCUAGUUGGUUAUAUAGCCUGCCACUAGGCGAUAUAAUCGAUGAGAUUUAAAAUAGUUGGCUACACACGUAGAAGCAACGAGGAAAAAGCUUGCGGACAGGGGUUCGACUCCCCUCGUCUCCACCA